rnacentral:rRNA from 1 species
UGGGAUAAGCCCGGGAAACUGGGUCUAAUACCGGAUAUUACCUCUUGCCGCAUGGCAGGUGGUGGAAAGAUUUAUCGGUGGGGGAUGGACUCGCGGCCUAUCAGCUUGUUGGUGAGGUAAUGGCUCACCAAGGCGACGACGGGUAGCCGGCCUGAGAGGGUGACCGGCCACACUGGGACUGAGACACGGCCCAGACUCCUACGGGAGGCAGCAGUGGGGAAUAUUGCACAAUGGGCGAAAGCCUGAUGCAGCGACGCCGCGUGAGGGAUGACGGCCUUCGGGUUGUAAACCUCUUUCAGUAGGGAAGAAGCGAAAGUGACGGUACCUGC